rnacentral:siRNA from 1 species
ACCGCACCGUACUUGAUACGAA